UAGGGAAUCUUCCACAAUGGACGCAAGUCUGAUGGAGCAACGCCGCGUGAGUGGAGAAGGGUUUCGGCUCGUAAAGCUCUGUUGUUAGGGAAGAACGUGGGUAAGAGUAACUGUUUACCCAGUGACGGUAUUUAACCAGAAAGCCACGGCUAACUACGUGCCAG
rnacentral:rRNA from 1 species